rnacentral:RNase_P_RNA from 1 species
UGAGUCGGCCGGGUGAUCGCGGCGAAUGUGGACUGCGCGCGUAUGCGGGCAAGCACGGGUCGAGGAAAGUCCGGACUCCGCACGGCACGGUGGUUGUUAACGGCAACCCGGGGUGACCCGCGGGAAAGUGCAACAGAGAGUAGACCGCCUUCACCGCGUGCGGUGGAGGUAAGGGUGAAAGGGUGCGGUAAGAGCGCACCGGCGGGUGUGGUGACACAUCCGGCCAGGUAAACCCCACCGGGAGCAAGGCAAGAGCCCCUGCCCAAAAAGGCAGGGGUUGUCGGACGCUAGUAGGCUGCCCGCCGAAGUCCGAAGGUAGCUGCUUGAGGCACCCAGCAAUGGGUGUCCUAGAUGGAUGAUCGCCGCCCGCAACAUACGUUGCGGGUACAGAAUCCGGCUUACGUGCCGGCUCAUUCG